rnacentral:lncRNA from 1 species
GGGAUAGUUUUGGACCUUAAGGCCCAAUGGGCUUCGAACGUCAAGCCCAUAGACUUAAGUUGUAUGACAAUUUAAUGAAUAAAAAUUCACAAAGGCCCAAAAGCCCAAAUCCCUUAUGUGGCCGGCCAUGUGUGUUGAAUUAGGGUUUUUGGUUCUUAAGUCAUUUAAAGAAGUGACUAUAUAAAGAACUUUAUAGCCUAAAAUUCAUUAAGGGUUCUUUUUGGAGAAAAUUGGAGAGAACAUGUCUCUCCUUUUCUCUCUAGGAGGCCGGCCCCCCUUGGAGGGUGUAUCUAGCAAUCCUACCACUCCAAGGUCACUCAUUUCUUCUCCAAUCUAACCUUGGUGAAGAUACUUAGAGGUUCUCAAUUUUGGGAACUUGGAGAAACCUAUUCUUCCAUCCAAAUCCAUAGAUUUUAGAUGCAAGGAAUGAAGGCCCUCUCUUUGGGUGAUUAGCCUUUGCUUAUGCAAAGAGGAAUCUACAAAGGUAUAUAUGCAAAGAGGAAUCUACAAAGGUAUAUAUUUCUCAACUCACUUUGAUUUGAGUUGAGUCUUGGUUCACCAAUCUACUAGGCUUUGAAUUUCAUGGGUAAUGUUUUGUUUUUGAGUGCAUGCAAGCAUGAUUCCGCCUUUAAUUGUUAAUUGCAUGAUAUAGAUGUUAUUCAAAUGAACAUGUUUUCACAAAAUCAUCCUUCAAGUGGUAUCAGAGCCUAGGUCUAGUAGUUGGUGAAUCCUUUUGGGUUUUGUGGUUCAUAGUUUGUGAUUUAAAAGUUGUAAUAUGUUACAAGCUUUAUUCUUGUUUCUUUGAACGUAAAUUUUGUUAGAAAAUUUGCCAUCUCAAAUGUUGUAGAUGUAGUUCAUAUGAGCAUGAAUAUUGGAGCUAAAAUUUGGUGCCAUGCUUUUGGGAAUUUUCGGCCAAAUCCAAAGGGUGGAUUUUUGGGUUCUUGUUUGACUUGUUAAAAGUGUUUUCAAGUAACUUUUGGAACCCCUAUGUACCCUAGUUUGGUUAUAUGUUAUUUCCCUAAAGUUUGAAUGGUUUUGGGAUGUGUUUUUUGGAGUGAAAAUGUUCAUGGAAAUUUUUUGGGUUUUUCAUGAAUGUUCUUCAUUGUUCUUGACAUUUUUGCCAAGAACAAAAAGUUUGGUGUUUUGAUUCAAAGUUUUGAUUUAUUUCAUAAAGUUUAUAUUUUAUGAUUUAUCAUUUAUUUAAAUGUGUUAGAUAUUUAUUUAAAAGGUGUAAGAAAUGGUGAUGGGUGUGUAAGGAUUAAUUCCCUUUCACACACACCACUUGCAUGACAUUUAUGUCAUGCACCACUUGCAUGCUUUAUGUCUAACUUAGCAAUCAACACACACAUCACUCAUUUCUCCUAUCCAAAACCGGCCCUCCCUCAAGUGGGAGUACUUUUGGGGCUUUUAUGCAAUUACAUAAAGUUUUGAUACUUUUGUGUUUUGCAUUUUGGCCCAAAAGUUUACGUUUUUACGUUUAGGUCCAAAAACGCUAAAGGACAAAUUGUUUUGCUCCUUUAAUGAAGUUUUUGCAUUGUUUAAAGUUUGGGUUCUAGUUGUAAUUACAUGAAGUAGUGGACUUUUGUGUUUUUACAAAGUGACCCCAAAAGUUUUGCAUAUAGCCCAAAAGUUGAGGUUAAUUGCUUUAUGGCCCAAAUAAGUUGUGGUUAUUGCAUAUUGGCCCAAAUUAGGUAGAGAACAAAAUUGUUUUGUCUCUUUAAAUGAGAAUUGGAUUUUCAUUUCAUUUAGCUCCAUUUAAAUCAAUCUUAUGGAUACAAAAACCAAAUGAAAAUGUUGCAUUCAAUUUAAUUAGUUAAAGUGUUAAUUAAUUAAAGGGUGAUUAUGAACCUAAGCCUACGAUAAUUGAGCUAUGUGAAAGGCCGUUUCAAAUUUGUUUGAACCAUGGGAAUGUGUAGAUUAGAUUUUGGUUGUAAUUUGAUUUGAUCAAAUGUUGUAAAAGAGCAUAAGCUCUUCUUUACUUUAAAAUAAUUUGAUUUAUGCAAAUGUUGUAAUGAGCAUAAGCUCACCUUUACUUUGAAGUACUUCUUUCUUGCUUUAUUUGAUAUGCAUGAAAAUGAAGUAGUUGGGUCCAACGCCCCUAAGACAACACGCCUUAAUGUGAUUAAACGUGAAACUAAAAUCAAUCACCAUCCCUAGACCGAGAUUCAACACAAGGCUCGUGUUGGAUCUAAUUAAAAGGUUCAUAAUCAUCCUAAGGCCCUAAGGCAACUAUAUAGUCCAUCAAUGAAUGCAAACCUUAUGUUAGUAGUAUCAUAUACUCUUGCUUUAAAACCGUUUUAUAAGCAUAGUGGGAGUAUUAUAUACAACUAAAACAAUCAAAUGGACCAAUAGUUGUAAUAG